CCUACGGUGGGCAGCAGUAGGGAAUAUUGCUCAAUGGGGGAAACCCUGAAGCAGCAACGCCGCGUGGAGGAUGAAGGUUUUAGGAUUGUAAACUCCUUUUGUGAGAGAAGAUAAUGACGGUAUCUCACGAAUAAGCACCGGUUAACUCCGGGCCAGCAGCCGCGGUAAUACGGCGGGUGCAAGCGUUACUCGGAAUUACUGGGCGUAAAGAGUGCGAAGGCGGGCUUGGAAGUCAAUAGUGAAAUCCUGUAGCUUAACUACAUGAAUGCAUUUGAAACUAUUAGUCUAGAGUGUGGGAGAGGUAGGUGGAAUUCUUGGUGUAGGGGUAAAAUCCGUAGAUAUCAAGAGGAAUACUCAUUGCGAAGGCGACCUACUGGAACAUUACUGACGCUCAUGCACGAAAGCGUGGGGAGCAAACAGGAUUAGAUACCCUAGUAGUC
rnacentral:rRNA from 1 species